UGAUCUCUAGUGUAUCACUCUUUUACUUCAAAUUCAAAUUGAAUUUCACCCAUGAAGGAAAAUGUGCAGUAGAGCUUCCGCUUCUGCAAUUGAUCCCAUUUACAGAAGAGGAUUUGCGGCUCCAUGGUCGCAAAAAUUGGCUCAUUUUAACCGCUGGCGCUUUCUCCACGUCAACAACCACUUCCGACAAAGAUGCGGUUGUCGGAGGCGACGCCAACCUGCCGUCCGAUUCGGUAAUGCGGUCGAGAUUCUUGAUCCCUAAUUCGGCGCCAGUAAUCAAAAGCGUCGUUAGCUUCUUGUGUUUCUUGACUGUGCUCUCACGCUUCUUGACAACCGAAUGGCCCCAUCUUGCGAGUGCGGAAAUCAGAACUCCGAAGGCAGCGGCGGCCACUGCAGCACCGAUGCUCUUGGGAACGGUGUUUACCGCGUAAACCACAGCGGCUGCGCAGAAGGCGACCGCUGUAGUGGAGAAAACAGAAAUCGCAAUUUUGACAAAAUUAAGGCACGAGAGUUGUUUGCUGAAGCCGUCGUCCACGGGUUUCACUGUCUUCUUCAUCUUAGAAUGCUCCGUAAGAAGACAGUCUAAAUAAAGGGAGAAAGUAGCAAAGAAUUGGGGAUCAUUUACGUUGAGUUCUGAGUAGAAGUUGGGGGCGUUGAGACUGUUCUGAUAGCUGUUGUUGACAAACUCCACCAAUUUGUCAUUCUUUGUAGGGUCCUUUUUCAGAUCAUGGAACGCCAAAUCAAAUUCACCAGCAACCAAGCGGGGGGUGGACAUCAAUUGAGCGCCGGAGCCCGUGUUCAUGUUGCUGCCCAUCACGGCUCACGAUGAGUGUAUCUGUGUAUGUGAUCAGAGGCGAUGGAGUCGAUUCUAAAAACAACUGUAGUUCAAGCUCAAAGCGGCGCUGCAAAUUAAGUAUAUAGUGAGUUGGGAGUCCAACUCAAUAAAUAGAACCAUCAUGAUUUGUCGUUAUAUUUACAAGAUUGUCAAUUCUCAAGGACGAUUCUGUUAAAAGUACUACUAUUAUUCAACGACCUGAACUCUUUCUGCUCUUAA